rnacentral:lncRNA from 1 species
CCCUCUGUCAUUUGAAACGCAUAACAAUCACACAUAUAUUUCAAGUCCAAACUAGACCCAUUUGAUUGAUAAGUAGAAGAAAAGAUCAGGAGAUUGAUUACUUAAUAUGUAUAUCUUUAUUUAGUGAUACAUCUUAAAAUUGUACGUGCUUAUGGAACUUGAACAAAAGAUGCACAUGUUUUGAUGGAAGAUUCUAAUCGUGCGUUGAUAGAUUCUCAAUCACCGUCACUUCAAAAUUCAACCUAAAACAAUUGAUUAUCUACAUCGUGCGCUAGGGAUUUUUGCAGAAAAGUCCAUCUAAAAUCCAUAUCAAACCCUUCAUUAGUAUUGAGAAAUCAUAGCCAGAAAUCAAUUCUCCUCACCUUGUUGCAACAGUGGGACACAAUCUUUGAAAAAGCACCUUCAAACACCCCAAUAACUAUUAUUUCACAUGAUUAUAACUAUUUGUUCACAUGUGAUACUAUUGAUUCACAUUCUUGUUACUAUUAGGGGAGUUGGUGCAAGAUUGAUAAUACUUGCAUGACUAAGUUAAAAAUAAGGGUAUAGAUGGAGGUACUAUAUUGUAAUUAAUUUUAUCACAUGAUUUACUAUUAAUAAAUAAAAUUUAAUUUUCUCUAUUUAUUGUUUUGAAAUAGUAAAGGUUGAUUUGAUUAAUGUGGAUAGUUAUGGGUAAAAUACGCAAAUAUUUCAAAUAAGCAAGUGGUUAUAAAAUAUUUAUUGUUGUUGAGGAAUAUUCGUUUGGUCGUGUAAUAUUUUUACUGUCGGGGAAUAUUCGUACGACGGCGCAGCCUUGUGUGGGCCUCAUAACGAAAAGCGAUUGGAUGAAGAAAAUGACAAGUAUAAGUUGUUUAUAAAUAACGGCGUAGUUGUUACCGUUAACACUGUUGGAAUACCCGGUGGUUAAAACACAGUAA